GUCAUAUUAUAACAGUGAAGUGUCGUGCGAAUCAAACAGACGAAACGUAGGAAAAUCGCAAUGCCGACGAGAAAAAUUCCGGCGUUCUAUACGGAUAUUAAUAAUCGAAUAGAGAACGUUAUUGAAUAAUAUUACUGCUGUCGCAAAUCCAAUUCGAAUUCGACUUUUGAAGCUAUUAUAGUUUUAGCUACAGGGUUUUAUUUUUUUUAUCGGAAAACAUUUUUUUCGUUAAGUAAAAACACUCCGAAUCGUCGCGCCUUAGAAGAU